GCUGUGCAGCGCACAGAGGAAUGUGUCUGGGCCUAAAGCAGCAAGAACGCCAAGCCUUCCAGCUCUUGGAGAAGGAGCUCUCUUUGUUCUUCUGUUCAGCCCCACCCACCCACCCUACCCACCAGUAUCUCCUACUUCUUCGUCCUUCCAGGCGCUGGGCUGCCCAGAGGAGAAGAAGACCCAAGAACUUGGCAUCCUCAGCCCGACUACACCAUUCGGGGGCCCGGCUCCUGCUCAGCUCGGUGAUUCCCACCACAGCUCCAGGAAGCAGGUGCAGCAGCACGGACCGCACGACCGCAGGGCCUCAGGGUGACCGGACACCAGGCCUGGACUUACUCUCAUCCAGAGAGUUCCCUGGAGUGGCUGCAGACCCCAAAGGAAGGCCGCAGCUCUGUAGCAGUUUCCUUUCUGGGGACUGGAAUGUGACCUACUUCCCUGUAACAAGAUGCGACUUCAGCACUUGGAUGGAAGAUGCAGGUGAAGGCUGCGUUCCUCCCCAAACAGAGCGAGAAUGAGGAGAGUCUGUGCCCUGAUGCGUCCACACACUGCUCCCCCGGCCUCGAACAUCCCCACUCAGCUCGUCCAUCUAGAAAACCCCUCUCUGUGAAUCGUAAGCAGCUGGAGGGACCUCCCUGCCCCCAACUAGGGCAGCCUUCCACCACCUCUCCAUGCUGAGCUGCCCACACUGGGGGUAAAGUCGGAGGCUUUUGAGCUGGUUACAGAGCCAUUCAGGCUGUGAAAGAGGGCUGUCUGCCCUGUGUGUGAUUCCCUCCUCAGCCCCCAGCACAGUGGCUGGCACUCAGUGCCGUGUGUAACAUCUGUGGGAUGUGGACGCACGGAUUCAACUCUGAGCUCAGUGUCCUCAUCUGGCAACAGGGCUAGUGGACAAUAGCUCCUUUCAAUAGAUCAAUGAAUAGGCUUUAUUGAGUCCUUCAUAUUGACAAACUCAGGAAGAAUAUAUAUAGUGGGAGGCUAAAUAAUGGCUUCUGAAGACAUCCAGGGCCUAACCCCUAGGACCUGUGAAUAUUUAUAUAGAUAUACACGUGUGUGUGUGUGUGCACGUGCACGUGCGUGCGUGCCUCUCAGGGCAGUCAGUGCCUGGCACAUGGUAAUUGCCCAAUAAAUGGAAAUUGUCUUAUUUAUUAUCA
rnacentral:lncRNA from 1 species